rnacentral:lncRNA from 1 species
AUAAAGGAAAAGGACUAAAUUCUAAAUUUAUAAAAAGUACAAAGACUUAUAACAUAUUUCAAUAUUUUUAUAAAAACGUUAUUCGAUAAAUAAUUGAAAUAAUACUAAAAUUUAAAUUUAGAGUGAUUUAAUUUUCUACACAUAUAUUUCUCCCUUUAAAAUUUGGGUUCCUUGUAUUUUCUUAAAUCUUCAACAUCACAAGGCUAUUCAAUUGAUCUUUACUUCGGCUCAACACUCGAAAACCUAGUCUUGAAAGAUUGAAAUGAUUUAUCUUGUUAGUAAAUCAUCGCUCAACACUCGAAAACCUAGUCUUGAAAGAUUGAAAUGAUUUAUCUUGUUAGUAAAUCAUCACUCACUUAGGCCCCUCUUUGGAUCACUGUUGUUUUAUUCUUAUCGAAAAUAAACACACAGCCUAUCCAAAUAUACCCUUAAUUGAAAUUGAAUCUGAAUCGAGUCCUCGCAUUACACUUUCCUCGGCCCUUUAUUCUUGACGGUUGAAUCCAUUGUAAAGUCCUUUGUUUCAAAGCAACAAACUUUAGCUCUGUCUUUUUCUUCAAUUGGGACUUUCCUAUAUGAAAAAAUAUAUAUUUUUCAUAUAUAUAUUUGUAAGACCCAAAUUUUGCCCGGGCCCAUACCAGCCAAAUAAACCCAAAUAAUAAAAACAAAAAAAGUCCAUUUACAUUAAACCAACAGCCCAUAAACUUAAACUCUUUUCAGCUAAAAAAAGAAAGACAAAACAACCCUAGCCGCAGGCCUAGCCACUGGCGCCGCUCCAACUCCCCGCAUGGCGCACGCCCCUGCUCUUAGCCGUCAACCGCCGCAUGCGUACCAGGCCUCCUCCACGCGUGUCAGAACACCUACAAAACAGCAAAAACACGCAACAACGAGCAGCAAUAGGCAAAAAACAAAAAAAAAAGAAACAAAAAGUUGUUUAGAUUGGCUAUAAAGCCAAAAAUCAGAGACUUGUAAUCGUCUUCGACCUCUUUACGAAUCUUGAGAAAUAAAAACAAAAAACAAAACUUUGAGAGGAUUUUCCUUUUAUUUCAAUCUUUCUUUUUUAUCUUGAUUUAUAUAAUUGUUUUUUUUUUAUUUUCAUAAACAAGAAUAAUAAGAAAGAGACUUACCGGAGAGGCCCCGUGACCGCUUUGUCGGAGGGCCGAUCUCCAUCGCAAGGGCUGAAGGUUGGGGAAAGGGAGGCUUCGUUCUCUUUUCUUCUUUGUGGGAAAAGAGGCGCUCCUCCCCGAAACCUGAGAAACGGGCUUAAAGGCCCUGCUUUGUGCGACGUCGGUCGCCGUUCUCGGGGUGCCGCGGCGGCGCGUGGUGGUCUGGCAUUUGGGUUCCUAAGCUAGGCUGAAACCCUAGCAAAGAAAGGGAAAGUCCCUUUUAAAUUUUCUAUUCUAUGUAAAAAAAAUUUGAAACUACUAAACUAAGUGAUUUUUUUUAGCUGUUAUAGUGGAAACGGCGCCGUUUGAGGGAGGGAAUUUGCACAUUCAUGCCCUAAAGGGGUAAUUUCUGCAAUUGGUCCUUUUUC